rnacentral:lncRNA from 1 species
CCUCUUAUUUGGAAAUAUUUGACCUAUUUUUUUAAGCUCCCCCGAAAAAAAAGGACAUAGGAAAGAGGAAGCACACCUUAUUUAGCCUUGGCUCUUCCUUCUGAUAGCCUGAAUCGGUAUUGUUUGUGGAUUUUUUGGACAGAAAAAGCUCUGGCACUAUGGCAACUCACCGUUGGAAAGGCCUCCUUCUCGGAUCUCUUCCCAACGCCACUGAAGGGGCUUUUAAAGCCCCCAACAGGCCACUAUAGCAUUAUUACCACAGCAGCCACACUAUGGCAAUAAUGCUAUAGUGCACCUUGACUUGGGGCGUACCGACCGGUUCGCACCCAGUCGGCAUCGAACCGGACGGAACCAUCCAGCAAAUUCCGGCUGGUUC